rnacentral:misc_RNA from 1 species
GAUGAAGAACGCAGCGAAAUGCGAUAAGUAAUGUGAAUUGCAGAAUUCAGUGAAUCAUCCAAUCUUUGAACGCACAUUGCGCCCCUUGGUAUUCCGAGGGGCAUGCCUGUUCGAGCGUCAUUAUAACCCCUCAAGCUCGGCUUGGUGUUGGGGCCUGCCGCACGGGCAGCCCUUAAAAUCAGUGGCGGUGCCAUCUGGCUCUAAGCGUAGUAAUUCUUCUCGCUAUAGAGUCCCGGUGGAUGCUUGCCAUUAACCCCCAAUUUCAAUGGUUGACCUCGGAUCAGGUAGGGAUACCCGCUGAACUUAAGCAUAUCAAUAAGCGGAGGA